rnacentral:rRNA from 1 species
UUUCCAGACUCCUACGGGAGGCAGCAGUGGGGAAUAUUGGGCAAUGGGCGCAAGCCUGACCCAGCAACGCCGCGUGAAGGAAGAAGGCUUUCGGGUUGUAAACUUCUUUUAAGAGGGACGAAACAAAUGACGGUACCUCUUGAAUAAGCUCCGGCUAACUACGUGCCAGCAGCCGCGGUAAUACGUAGGGAGCGAGCGUUAUCCGGAUUUACUGGGUGUAAAGGGCGUGUAGGCGGGAUGGCAAGUCAGGCGUGAAAACUAUGGGCUCAACCCAUAGCCUGCGUUUGAAACUGUCGUUCUUGAGUGAUGGAGAGGCAAGCGGAAUUCCGUGUGUAGCGGUGAAAUGCGUAGAUAUACGGAGGAACACCAGUGGCGAAGGCGGCUUGCUGGACAUUAACUGACGCUGAGGCGCGAAAGCGUGGGGAGCAAACAGGAUUAGAUACCCGGGUA